rnacentral:rRNA from 1 species
AUUGAACGCUGGCGGCAGGCCUAACACAUGCAAGUCGAGCGGAUGAAGGGAGCUUGCUCCUGGAUUCAGCGGCGGACGGGUGAGUAAUGCCUAGGAAUCUGCCUGGUAGUGGGGGAUAACGUCCGGAAACGGGCGCUAAUACCGCAUACGUCCUGAGGGAGAAAGUGGGGGAUCUUCGGACCUCACGCUAUCAGAUAAGCCUAGGUCGGAUUAGCUAGUUGGUGGGGUAAAGGCCUACCAAGGCGACGAUCCGUAACUGGUCUGAGAGGAUGAUCAGUCACACUGGAACUGAGACACGGUCCAGACUCCUACGGGAGGCAGCAGUGGGGAAUAUUGGACAAAGGGCGAAAGCCUGAUCCAGCCAUGCCGCGUGUGUGAAGAAGGUCUUCGGAUUGUAAAGCACUUUAAGUUGGGAGGAAGGGCAGUAAGUUAAUACCUUGCUGUUUUGACGUUACCAACAGAAUAAGCACCGGCUAACUUCGUG